rnacentral:rRNA from 1 species
GAUGAACGCUGGCGGCGUGCCUAAUACAUGCAAGUCGAGCGAACAGACGAGGAGCUUGCUCCUCUGACGUUAGCGGCGGACGGGUGAGUAACACGUGGAUAACCUACCUAUAAGACUGGGAUAACUUCGGGAAACCGGAGCUAAUACCGGAUAAUAUAUUGAACCGCAUGGUUCAAUAGUGAAAGACGGUUUUGCUGUCACUUAUAGAUGGAUCCGCGCCGCAUUAGCUAGUUGGUAAGGUAACGGCUUACCAAGGCAACGAUGCGUAGCCGACCUGAGAGGGUGAUCGGCCACACUGGAACUGAGACACGGUCCAGACUCCUACGGGAGGCAGCCGUAGGGAAUCUUCCGCCAUGGGCGAAAGCCUGACGGAGCAACGCCGCGUGAGUGAUGAAGGUCUUCGGAUCGUAAAACUCUGUUAUUAGGGAAGAACAAAUGUGUAAGUAACUAUGCACGUCUUGACGGUACCUAAUCAGAAAGCCACGGCUAACUACGUG